AUUGAACGCUGGCGGCAUGCUUUACACAUGCAAGUCGAACGGUAACAGGGUGCUUGCACCGCUGACGAGUGGCGAACGGGUGAGUAAUGCGUCGGAACGUGCCGAGUAGUGGGGGAUAACGCAGCGAAAGUUGUGCUAAUACCGCAUACGUACUGAGGUAGAAAGUGGGGGACCUUCGGGCCUCACGCUAUUCGAGCGGCCGACGUCUGAUUAGCUAGUAGGUGAGGUAAAGGCUCACCUAGGCGACGAUCAGUAGCGGGUCUGAGAGGAUGAUCCGCCACACUGGGACUGAGACACGGCCCAGACUCCUACGGGAGGCAGCAGUGGGGAAUUUUGGACAAUGGGCGAAAGCCUGAUCCAGCCAUGCCGCGUGUCUGAAGAAGGCCUUCGGGUUGUAAAGGACUUUUGUCAGGGAGGAAAUCCCUAGUGCUAAUAACACUGGGGGAUGACAGUACCUGAAGAAUAAGCACCGGCUAACUACGUG
rnacentral:rRNA from 1 species